rnacentral:rRNA from 1 species
CCUACGGGCUGCUGCAGUGGGGAAUAUUGGACAAUGGGCGAAAGCCUGAUCCAGCCAUGCCGCGUGUGUGAAGAAGGCCUUCGGGUUGUAAAGCACUUUCAGUGGGGAAGAAAGCCUUGGGGCUAAUACCCUCGAGGAAGGACAUCACCCACAGAAGAAGCACCGGCUAACUCCGUGCCAGCAGCCGCGGGAAUACGGAGGGUGCGAGCGUUAAUCGGAAUUACUGGGCGUAAAGCGCGCGUAGGCGGUCUGAUAAGCCGGUUGUGAAAGCCCCGGGCUCAACCUGGGAACGGCAUCCGGAACUGUCAGGCUAGAGUGCAGGAGAGGAAGGUAGAAUUCCCGGUGUAGCGGUGAAAUGCGUAGAGAUCGGGAGGAAUACCAGUGGCGAAGGCGGCCUUCUGGACUGACACUGACGCUGAGGUGCGAAAGCGUGGGUAGCAAACAGGAUUAGAUACCCGGGUAGUC